rnacentral:rRNA from 1 species
GACGAACGCUGGCGGCGUGCUUAACACAUGCAAGUCGAGCGGUAAGGCCCUUUCGGGGGUACGACGAGCGGCGAACGGGUGAGUAACACGUGGGUGACCUGCCCUUAGCUCUGGGAUAAGCCUGGGAAACUGGGUCUAAUACCGGAUAUGACUCCAUGACGCAUGUUGUGGGGUGGAAAGCCUUGUGCGGCUAGGGAUGGGCCCGCGGCCUAUCAGCUUGUUGGUGGGGUGAUGGCCACCAAGGCGACGACGGGUAGCCGGCCUGAGAGGGCGACCGGCCACACUGGGACUGAGACACGGCCCAGACUCCUACGGGAGGCAGCAGUGGGGAAUCUUGCGCAAUGGGCGAAAGCCUGACGCAGCGACGCCGCGUGGGGAUGACGGCC